GACGAACGCUGGCGGCGUGCUUAACACAUGCAAGUCGAACGGAAAGGCCCCUUUGGGGGUACUCGAGUGGCGAACGGGUGAGUAACACGUGAGUAACCUGCCCUUGACUUCGGGAUAACUUCAGGAAACUGGGGCUAAUACCGGAUAGGAAUCCUUGCUGCAUGGUGGGGGUUGGAAAGCUUCGGCGGUUUUGGAUGGACUCGCGGCUUAUCAGCUUGUUGGUGGGGUAGUGGCUUACCAAGGCGUUGACGGGUAGCCGGCCUGAGAGGGCGACCGGCCACAUUGGGACUGAGGUACGGCCCAGACUCCUACGGGAGGCAGCAGUGGGGAAUAUUGCACAAUGGGCGGAAGCCUGAUGCAGCAACGCCGCGUGCGGGAUGACGGCCUUCGGGUUGUAAACCGCUUUCAGCAGGGGCGAAGCUUGUGGUGACGGUACCUGCAGAAGAAGCACCGGCUAACUACGUG
rnacentral:rRNA from 1 species